CUACGGGAGGCAGCAGUGGGGAAUUUUGGACAAUGGGCGAAAGCCUGAUCCAGCCAUGCCGCGUGAGUGAAGAAGGCCUUCGGGUUGUAAAGCUCUUUCGGCCGGGAAGAAAUCGCACAGGCUAAUACCCUGUGUGGAUGACGGUACCGGAAUAAGAAGCACCGGCUAACUACGUGCCAGCAGCCGCGGUAAUACGUAGGGUGCGAGCGUUAAUCGGAAUUACUGGGCGUAAAGCGUGCGCAGGCGGUUUUUUAAGACAGGCGUGAAAUCCCCGGGCUUAACCUGGGAACUGCGCUUGUGACUGGAAGGCUAGAGUACGGCAGAGGGGGGUGGAAUUCCACGUGUAGCAGUGAAAUGCGUAGAGAUGUGGAGGAACACCGAUGGCGAAGGCAGCCCCCUGGGCCGAUACUGACGCUCAUGCACGAAAGCGUGGGGAGCAAACAGGAUUAGAUACCCUGGUAGUCCACGCCCUAAACGAUGUCAACUAGGUGUUGGGGUGGGUAAAACCAUUUAGUACCGGAGCUAACGCGUGAAGUUGACCGCCUGGGGAGUACGGCCGCAAGGUUAAAACUCAAAGGAAUUGACGG
rnacentral:rRNA from 1 species